rnacentral:rRNA from 1 species
GAUGAACGCUGGCGGCGUGCUUAACACAUGCAAGUCGAACGGAAAGGCCCAAGCUUGCUUGGGUACUCGAGUGGCGAACGGGUGAGUAACACGUGGGUGAUCUGCCCUGCACUUCGGGAUAAGCCUGGGAAACUGAGUCUAAUACCGGAUAGGACCACAUUUUGGAUGGUGUGGUGGAAAGUUUUUCGGUGUGGGAUGAGCUCGCGGCCUAUCAGCUUGUUGGUGGGGUAAUGGCCUACCAAGGCGUCGACGGGUAGCCGGCCUGCGAGGGUGUACGGCCACAUUGGGACUGAGAUACGGCCCAGACUCCUACGGGAGGCAGCAGGGGGGAAUAUUGCACAAUGGGCGCAAGCCUGAUGCAGCGACGCCGCGUGGGGGAUGACGGCCUUCGGGUUGUAAACUCCCUUCGCUAGGGACGAAGCGUUAUGUGACGGUACCUGGAGAAGAAGCACCGGCUAACUACGUG